GACGAACGCUGGCGGCGUGCUUAACACAUGCAAGUCGAACGGAAAGGCCCUGCUCUUGUGGGUUGCUCGAGUGGCGAACGGGUGAGUAACACGUGAGUAACCUGCCCUUGACUUUGGGAUAAAUUCAGGAAACUGGGGCUAAUACCGGAUAGGAGCUCCUGCUGCACGGUGGGGGUUGGAAAGUUUCGGCGGUUGGGGAUGGACUCGCGGCUUAUCAGCUUGUUGGUGGGGUAGUGGCUUACCAAGGCUUUGACGGGUAGCCGGCCUGAGAGGGUGAACGGCCACAUUGGGACUGAGGUACGGCCCAGACGCCUACGGGAGGCAGCAGUGGGGAAUAUUGCACAAUGGGCGGAAGCCUGAUGCAGCAACGCCGCGUGCGGGAUGACGGCCUUCGGGUUGUAAACCGCUUUCGCCUGUAACGAAGCGUGAGUGACGGUAAUGGGUAAAAAAGCACCGGCUAACUACGUG
rnacentral:rRNA from 1 species